rnacentral:rRNA from 1 species
AUUGAACGCUGGCGGCAUGCCUUACACAUGCAAGUCGAACGGCAGCACGGGAGCAAUCCUGGUGGCGAGUGGCGAACGGGUGAGUAAUAUAUCGGAACGUGCCCAGUCGUGGGGAUAACGUAGCGAAAGCUACGCUAAUACCGCAUACGAUCUAUGGAUGAAAGCGGGGGAUCGCAAGACCUCGCGCGAUUGGAGCGGCCGAUAUCAGAUUAGGUAGUUGGUGAGGUAAAGGCUCACCAAGCCGACGAUCUGUAGCUGGUCUGAGAGGACGACCAGCCACACUGGGACUGAGACACGGCCCAGACUCCUACGGGAGGCAGCAGUGGGGAAUUUUUGGGACAAUGGGCGAAAGCCUGAUCAGCAAUGCCGCGUGAGUGAUGAAGG